rnacentral:rRNA from 1 species
GACGAACGCUGGCGGCGUGCUUAACACAUGCAAGUCGAACGGAAAGGCCCUGCUUUUGUGGGGUGCUCGAGUGGCGAACGGGUGAGUAACACGUGAGUAGCCUGCCCUUGACUUUGGGAUAACUUCAGGAAACUGGGGCUAAUACCGGAUAGGAGCUCCUGCUGCAUGGUGGGGGUUGGACAGUUUCGGCGGUUGGGGAUGGACUCGCGGCUUAUCAGCUUGUUGGUGGGGUAGUGGCUUACCAAGGCUUUGACGGGUAGCCGGCCUGAGAGGGUGACCGGCCACAUUGGGACUGAGAUACGGCCCAGACUCCUACGGGAGGCAGCAGUGGGGAAUAUUGCACAAUGGGCGGAAGCCUGAUGCAGCAACGCCGCGUGCGGGAUGACGGCCUUCGGGUUGUAAACCGCUUUCGCCUGUGACGAAGCGUGAGUGACGGUAAUGGGUAAAGAAGCACCGGCUAACUACGUG